UCCGGUUGAUCCUGCCAGAGGUUACUGCUAUCGAGGUUCGACUAAGCCAUGCGAGUCGAAUGUAGCAAUACAUGGCGUACUGCUCAGUAACACGUGGACAACCUGCCCUUAGGUUGGGUAUAAACCCGGGAAACUGGGUAUAAUCCCCUAUAAGUCUCGGCUGCUGGAAUGCACCGAGAUUAAAAGCUCCGGCGCCUAAGGAUGGGUCUGCGGCCUAUCAGGUAGUAGUGGGUGUAGCGUACCUACUAGCCUACGACGGGUACGGGUUGUGAGAGCAAGAGCCCGGAGAUGGAUUCUGAGACACGAAUCCAGGCCCUACGGGGUGCAGCAGGCGCGAAAACUUUACAAUGCUGGCAACAGCGAUAAGGGAACCUCGAGUGCCAGGUUACAAAUCUGGCUGUCGAGAUGCCUAAAAAGCAUUUCAUAGCAAGGGCCGGGCAAGACCGGUGCCAGCCGCCGCGGUAACACCGGCGGCUCGAGUGGUAACCGUUAUUAUUGGGUCUAAAGGGUCUGUAGCCGGCCGGAUAAGUCUCUUGAGAAAUCUGGCAGCUUAACUGUCAGGCUUUCAGGAGAUACUGUCUGGCUCGAGGCCGGGAGAGGUGAGAGGUACUUCAGGGGUAAGGGGUGAAAUCUUGUAAUCCUUGAAGGACCACCAGUGGCGAAGGCGUCUCACCAGAACGGACCUGACGGCAAGGGACGAAAGCUAGGGGGCACGAACCGGAUUAGAUACCCGGGUAGUCCUAGCCGUAAACGAUACUCGCUAGGUGUCGGCCACGGUGCGACCGUUGUCGGUGCCGUAGGGAAGCCGUGAAGCGAGCCACCUGGGAAGUACGGCCGCAAGGCUGAAACUUAAAGGAAUUGGCGGGGGAGCACCACAACGGGUGGAGCUUGCGGUUUAAUUGGAUUCAACGCCGGAAAUCUUACCGGGACCGACAGCAAUAUGAAGGCCAGGCUGAAGACUUUGCCGGAUUAGCUGAGAGGUGGUGCAUGGCCGUCGUCAGUUCGUACUGUGAAGCAUCCUGUUAAGUCAGGUAACGAGCGAGACCC
rnacentral:rRNA from 1 species